rnacentral:rRNA from 1 species
UACGAAAGGGGCUAGCGUUGUUCGGAAUUACUGGGCGUAAAGCGCACGUAGGCGGCCUUGUAAGUUGGGGGUGAAAUCCCGGAGCUCAACUCCGGAACUGCCUUCAAGACUGCAAAGCUCGAGGACGCGAGAGGUUAGCGGAAUUCCGAGUGUAGAGGUGAAAUUCGUAGAUAUUCGGAAGAACACCAGUGGCGAGGGCGGCUAACUGGCGCGUUUCUGACGCUGAGGUGCGAAAGCGUGGGGAGCAAACAGG